rnacentral:rRNA from 1 species
AUUGAACGCUGGCGGCAGGCCUAACACAUGCAAGUCGAGCGGAUGAAGGGAGCUUGCUCCUGGAUUCAGCGGCGGACGGGUGAGUAAUGCCUAGGAAUCUGCCUGGUAGUGGGGGAUAACGUCCGGAAACGGGCGCUAAUACCGCAUACGUCCUGAGGGAGAAAGUGGGGGAUCUUCGGACCUCACGCUAUCAGAUGAGCCUAGGUCGGAUUAGCUAGUUGGUGGGGUAAAGGCCUACCAAGGCGACGAUCCGUAACUGGUCUGAGAGGAUGAUCAGUCACACUGGAACUGAGACACGGUCCAGACUCCUACGGGAGGCAGCAGUGGGGAAUAUUGGACAAAGGGCGAAAGCCUGAUCCAGCCAUGCCGCGUGUGUGAAGAAGGUCUUCGGAUUGUAAAGCACUUUAAGUUGGGAGGAAGGGCAGUAAGUUAAUACCUUGCUGUUUUGACGUUACCAACAGAAUAAGCUCCGGCUAACUUCGUG